rnacentral:tRNA from 1 species
ACUUUUUUAAUAUAACAAUUAUAGAUGACUUCCAAUCAUACAAUCUCAGCACAAACUUGAAAAAAAAUA